rnacentral:rRNA from 1 species
UACGUAGGGGGCAAGCGUUGUCCGGAAUCACUGGGCGUAAAGCGCGCGCAGGCGGCUAUCUACGUCCGGGGUGAAAGCCCAGAGCUCAACUCUGGGACUGCCUUGGAUACGGGAUCGCUUGAGGAUCGGAGAGGCAAGGGGAAUUCCACGUGUAGCGGUGAAAUGCGUAGAGAUGUGGAGGAACACCUGUGGCGAAGGCGCCUUGCUGGCCGAUUUCUGACGCUGAGGCGCGAAAGCGUGGGGAGCAAACCGG